UUCGCCCUUUUCCGGUUGAUCCUGCCGGACCUGACUGCUAUCGGAUUGAUACUAAGCCAUGCGAGUCAUUGUAGCAAUACAAGGCAGACGGCUCAGUAACGCGUAGUCAACCUAACCUAUGGACGGGAAUAACCUCGGGAAACUGAGAAUAAUGCCCGAUAGAACACUAUACCUGGAAUGGUUUGUGUUCCAAAUGAUUUAUCGCCGUAGGAUGGGACUGCGGCCUAUCAGUUUGUUGGUGAGGUAAUGGCCCACCAAGACUAUUACAGGUACGGGCUCUGAGAGGAGUAGCCCGGAGAUGGGUACUGAGACACGGACCCAGGCCCUAUGGGGCGCAGCAGGCGAGAAAACUUUGCAAUGUGCGAAAGCACGACAAGGUUAAUCCGAGUGAUUUGUGCUAAACGAAUCUUUUGUUAGUCCUAGAACCACUAACGAAUAAGGGGUGGGCAAGUUCUGGUGUCAGCCGCCGCGGUAAAACCAGCACCUCAAGUGGUCAGGAUGAUUAUUGGGCCUAAAGCAUCCGUAGCCGGCUCUGUAAGUUUUCGGUUAAAUCUGUACGCUUAACGUACAGGCUGCCGGGAAUACUGCAGAGCUAGGGAGUGGGAGAGGUAGACGGUACUCGGUAGGAAGGGGUAAAAUCCUUUGAUCUAUUGAUGACCACCUGUGGCGAAGGCGGUCUACCAGAACACGUCCGACGGUGAGGGAUGAAAGCUGGGGGAGCAAACCGGAUUAGAUACCCGGGUAGUCCCAGCUGUAAACUAUGCAAACUCAGUGAUGCAUUGAC
rnacentral:rRNA from 1 species